AAUGGCUAGCUUCUCGUCAGUGGUCAAUAUAUCCCUUGUGAAAGUAGUGGGCAUAUCACCCGUUUGGGGGCUAUAUUAAGCCAACUAGUGGCAUCAACCUAACUACUGCCCUAGAAGUACUUCACAACAUCAGUGGAUUUUGUCCAAGAGAAGGGCUAAUGAAAGUUGCGAAUCCCGGUUCAGGAUCUUCGAGUCUAUGCAGACGGCAUCAAGACUACUGGAAAAGUUAUACAGUCAAAGGCAUUGGCUAAAUUCAAGUACCCAAGGCCAAGUAUGUAUUCGAAGUCAAUGUUCAGUUAGUUCCAAGAGUACAAUGGUGAAUAAAAACUAGAGGCUUGAAACAGGCUUGACAUUGUUGGAACAAUAUUAAUGCAAGGAUAAUUUAAUAUGGCAUUACCAUAGAAGUUGUCGGUUAGAAUAUGUUGUUGAUGCAGAUUAUAGAGUUGUGAGUGCGAACGUGUUUUGAGUUGCCGAUUGAUCCAUCUGCAUCUACUCCUCAAGCUACUCUUAUGAUGCUUCGAAGGUUCUUGCCUUCUCAUCCAGUUGCGAAUGCCAUUGUUAAAAUUUUGAAAAGCCACUUUGAUGAGCUUUGGAUAUCAUGAAAAAAAAUAUCUCAUAUUGUUAGAGAUAUCUGGUUUGCUAAGUUCAAGAUAAUUCUUUGGAAGGCCUAUCAGCUAAGCUGCCUAAUAAAGACAAAGGCAGCCCAUGAUUAUGAUACAUUUGGCACGAGAUAUAUUAAACAAGUGAUGCAUUGGG